UUGAAGCCCCGUUUUCUUCCUAGUGUUCCCAAUUAUGUAUAAAUCCUUAGAAACUCGAUACCAGUAUGCUUGAACAACUUGGAACAGGGCCUUCUUUCCGCACUAUUACUGAUAUGUCAAUAAUGGUCAAAACAGCCUACACGAGUGACUACUGAUUCUGAAGGAACUGGAGUCACAUUUCUUUUCCAUUCAAGAGCUCUUACACGUUUUCACGACCUUUCAAGACCACGAAUAAUGGAAAAAUUUCUUUUCUUAGGAACACACACAAGAUUCGUCACUACAAAAAGGAGACAUUUUCAAGAAAAAAGAGAUAUGCAGUUUAGUGCUUGCCUUAAAAUCAGUUAAUCACUGACAGCAAAUAUGUUCCUAUGACCCUUGAUUCUAAGAUUCUCAUCAACCUUCAAUCUUCCAAAAAUAUUGAUUCGAUCCUUCAAAUACGUCUCCCUUAACCACUCUGAACCUGGUGGCUUUCCCGUGCAAAGAAAAUGGCAAUCCGCUUUGAUAGUUUCCCCAGACGACGUGAAAUAUGUUCUGUUUCCACCCGAGUUGUUUGUGUUAUUACUCAAAUCAACAGAUUGCAUCAAUUUCACUUCCACAUUCUUGUUUUUCAACCAUUCUAAAGUCUUG